GGCUUGUUGAUUAUAAUUUCAGGUCUGGCCUGCCCAAUGAGAAGUUAAAUGGCCGCGGUAAAUUGACCGUGCAAAGGUAGCAUAAUCAUUAGUUUUUUAAUUGAAAGCUUGUAUGAAAGGUUUAAUGAAAGAAUUACUGUCUCUUGAAAAAUUUAUUAGAACUUUAUUUUUAAGUGAAAAAGCUUAAAUUUUUAUAGAAGACGAGAAGACCCUAUAGAGUUUUAUAUUUGAAAAAUACAAAAAUUUUUGGUAUAAAAAAUUAUGUUUUAAAAAUAAUAUUUUGUUGGGGUGAUAAGAAAAUUAAUAAAACUUUUUUUUUGUAUAGAGACAUUGAUUUGUGAAUACAUGAUCCUAGAGUUUAGAUUAAAAGAUUAAAUUACCUUAGGGAUAACAGCGUAAUUUUCUUUAGAGUUCUUAUUGAAUAGAAAGAUUGCGACCUCGAUGUUGGAUUAAAAUUAAUUUUUGGUGUAGGAGCUAGAAGUUUAGGUCUGUUCGACCUUUAAAAUUUUACAUGAUCUGAGUUUAGACCGGCGUGAG
rnacentral:rRNA from 1 species